rnacentral:tRNA from 1 species
GGGGUAGUGGUGGAAUGGUAGACACGUCAGUUUUAGGCACUGAUGCCUUCGGGUGUGAGAGUUCGAGUCUCUCCUACCCUA